GCAUUAUACAGCGAAACUGCGAAUGGCUCAUUAUAUAAGUUAUCGUUUAUUUGAUAGUACCUUACUACUUGGAUAACCGUGGUAAUUCUAGAGCUAAUACAUGCUAAAAAUCCCGACUUCGGAAGGGAUGUAUUUAUUAGAUUAAAAACCAAUGCCCUUCGGGGCUCCUUGGUGAUUCAUGAUAACUUCUCGAAUCGCAUGGCCUUGCGCCGGCGAUGGUUCAUUCAAAUUUCUUCCCUAUCAACUUUCGAUGUUUGGGUAUUGGCCAAACAUGGUUGCAACGGGUAACGGAGGGUUAGGGCUCGACCCCGGAGAAGGAGCCUGAGAAACGGCUACUACAUCCAAGGAAGGCAGCAGGCGCGCAAAUUACCCAAUCCCGACACGGGGAGGUAGUGACAAUAAAUACUGAUACAGGGCUCUUUUGGGUCUUGUAAUUGGAAUGAGUACAAUUUAAAUCCCUUAACGAGGAACAAUUGGAGGGCAAGUCUGGUGCCAGCAGCCGCGGUAAUUCCAGCUCCAAUAGCGUAUAUUAAAGUUGUUGUGGUUAAAAAGCUCGUAGUUGAACCUUGGGCCUGGCUGGCCGGUCCGCCUCACCGCGUGUACUGGUCCGGCCGGGCCUUUCCCUCUGUGGAACCCCAUGCCCUUCACUGGGUGUGGCGGGGAAACAGGACUUUUACUUUGAAAAAAUUAGAGUGCUCCAGGCAGGCCUAUGCUCGAAUACAUUAGCAUGGAAUAAUAGAAUAGGACGUGUGGUUCUAUUUUGUUGGUUUCUAGGACCGCCGUAAUGAUUAAUAGGGACAGUCGGGGGCAUCAGUAUUCCGUUGUCAGAGGUGAAAUUCUUGGAUUUACGGAAGACUAACUACUGCGAAAGCAUUUGCCAAGGAUGUUUUCAUUAAUCAGGAACGAAAGUUAGGGGAUCGAAGACGAUCAGAUACCGUCGUAGUCUUAACCAUAAACUAUGCCGACUAGGGAUCGGACGAUGUUAUUUUUUGACUCGUUCGGCACCUUACGAGAAAUCAAAGUGCUGG
rnacentral:rRNA from 1 species